UACAGAGGUCCCGAGCGUUGUUCGGAUUCAUUGGGCGUAAAGGGUGCGUAGGCGGCUGGGUAAGUUUGAUGUGAAAUCCUGGGGCUCAACCCUGGAACUGCAUUGAAUACUGCUCGGCUAGAGUACUGGAGAGGAAACUGGAAUUCACGGUGUAGCAGUGAAAUGCGUAGAUAUCGUGAGGAAGACCAGUGGCGAAGGCGAGUUUCUGGACAGUUACUGACGCUGGAGGCACGAAGGCCAGGGGAGCAAACGGG
rnacentral:rRNA from 1 species